GCAGUGUUAGCUCAGUGGUUAAGAUGUUGGCCUCCUGAUUGGAAGGUUUUGAGUUCAAAUCCCAGAGCUGCC